AUGCAUAAGCCUGAACGUGAACUCCAGCAGACCAAUUGUGUGUAUCCCACGGACCCUGCCUCCUUUCAUAGAGUUCUGCUGUCCAUUGAACAUCUACUGUGUGCAGUUGGGAAACUGAACUGGAGGCCAAAGGCCUCACGAAGAGGCACAGAAAUGGAGCUAAAAUGGAAAAGGGCCCAGGGGAGCGGGGAGGGGUGUGGGAAGGGGAGAAAUGAUUGCUGAGGCCUGGAAGCUUUUACAAGUGUGGAUCUGCCCUGGUUGUUGAAGAACACGUCCGAAUCUCUCCAGAGGCUGCGGUGAAGAUGCUCUGGAAUUCCUGGUGCGCCUGAUGAGGUGUUGCUGUGCUCAGCCUGUCAGCCAGCUGGCUCCUUUAGGGAUGGCCCCUGUGGGGUCUGGAAGCUCUGGAUCCUGAGGCUGCAGUAAAUCAGGUCAGCUGUGGCUGGAGGGUACAGAGUCCUCACCGAGCAUCAGGCAUGUUGCUAAGGUGCUGGGCACAGUCCCUCAGGGCAUCCUCACAGCUGUAGACAAAUCCAUACUGUUUAUUAUUCCCAUUUUACAGAGGAGAAAGCUGAGGCAGAGAAAGGGUGCCUUUUCUGCACCCAUGCAGGUAUCCAGUCUUAAAGUGGGUUAACUGGGGUUCAGAGAUGGGGAGCCCUGGUGGCUUAAACCCAGUGGCCUGGGGGUAUGGGACUUGCAGUCAGAGGUCCUGAUUUUAUGGGCACUCUUGCCUUUUGGGACCCUUCUUUCCGUAAUAAAUAUUAAAUGUGAUAUCUUAGGGGUAUGUUG
rnacentral:lncRNA from 12 species